rnacentral:rRNA from 1 species
UACAGAGGGUGCAAGCGUUGUUCGGAAUUAUUGGGCGUAAAGGGAGUGUAGGCGGCUAGGAAAGUCUUCUGUGAAAUCUACGGGCUCAGCCUGUAACGUGCAGAGGAAACUAUCUGGCUAGAGUGUCGGAGAGGAUAGGGGAAUACCCGGUGUAGAGGUGAAAUUCGUAGAGAUCGGGUGGAACACCAGUGGCGAAGGCGCCUCUGGGCCU